ACUGAACGCUGGCGGCAUGCCUUACACAUGCAAGUCGAACGGUAACGCGGGGCAACCUGGCGACGAGUGGCGAACGGGUGAGUAAUGCAUCGGAACGUGCCCAGUAGUGGGGGAUAACUGCUCGAAAGAGCAGCUAAUACCGCAUACGACCUGAGGGUGAAAGCGGGGGAUCGCAAGACCUCGCGCUAUUGGAGCGGCCGAUGUCAGAUUAGGUAGUUGGUGGGGUAAAGGCCCACCAAGCCAACGAUCUGUAGCUGGUCUGAGAGGACGACCAGCCACACUGGGACUGAGACACGGCCCAGACUCCUACGGGAGGCAGCAGUGGGGAAUUUUGGACAAUGGACGCAAGUCGGAUCCAGCCAUGCCGCGUGCGGGAAGAAGGCCUUCGGGUUGUAAACCGCUUUUGUCAGGGAAGAAACGCUCUGGGUUAAUACCUCGGGGUAAUGACGGUACCUGAAGAAUAAGCACCGGCUAACUACGUGCCAGCCGCCGCCGUAACAC
rnacentral:rRNA from 1 species